UCAGGACGAACGCUGGCGGCGUGCUUAACACAUGCAAGUCGAACGAUGAAGCUGGAGCUUGCUCCGGUGGAUUAGUGGCGAACGGGUGAGUAACACGUGAGCAAUCUGCCCUUGACUCUGGGAUAACUGCGGGAAACUGUAGCUAAUACCGGAUACGACACCUUGGGGCAUCCCAGGGUGUGGAAAGAAUUUCGGUCAAGGAUGAGCUCGCGGCCUAUCAGCUAGUUGGUGAGGUAAUGGCUCACCAAGGCGACGACGGGUAGCCGGCCUGAGAGGGUGACCGGCCACACUGGAACUGAGACACGGUCCAGACUCCUACGGGAGGCAGCAGUGGGGAAUAUUGCACAAUGGGCGAAAGCCUGAUGCAGCAACGCCGCGUGAGGGAUGAAGGCCUUCGGGUUGUAAACCUCUUUUAGCAGGGAAGAAGCGAAAGUGACGGUACCUGCAGAAAAGCACCGGCUAACUACGUG
rnacentral:rRNA from 1 species